AUUGAACGCUGGCGGUAUGCCUUACACAUGCAAGUCGAACGGUAGAGGGGCAACCCUUGAGAGUGGCGAACGGGUGAGUAAUACAUCGGAACGUGCCCAGUCGUGGGGGAUAACGUAGCGAAAGCUACGCUAAUACCGCAUACGACCCGAGGGUGAAAGCGGGGGACUCGCAAGGGCCUCGCGCGAUUGGAGCGGCCGAUGGCAGAUUAGGUAGUUGGUGGGGUAAAGGCCCACCAAGCCUGCGAUCUGUAGCUGGUCUGAGAGGACGACCAGCCACACUGGGACUGAGAAACGGCCCAGACUCCUACGGGAGGCAGCAGUGGGGAAUUUUGGACAAUGGGCGAAAGCCUGAUCCAGCCAUACCGCGUGCGGGAAGAAGGCCUUCGGGUUGUAAACCGCUUUUGUCAGGGAAGAAAUCUUCUGGGUUAAUACCUCGGGAGGAUGACGGUACCUGAAGAAUAAGCACCGGCUAACUACGUGCCAGCCGCCGCAGUAAAAC
rnacentral:rRNA from 1 species